CCAAGGAGUCUAACAUGUACGCGAGUCAUUGGGAAUGUUAAACCCAAAGGCAUAAUGAAAGUAAAGAUUCAUAUUGUGAAUUUGAGGAGAGAUAAUGGUUCUACUUGACAUUCUGAAAGGUUUGUUUGAGUAUGAAUAUUCGCAUCUCCUGGACGUCUAUACUUCUGAAAGUUGGGCGUACCUAGAGCGUACACGUUGGGACCCGAAAGAUGGUGAACUAUGCCUGGUCAGGACGAAGCCAGGGGAAACCCUGGUGGAGGUUCGUAGCGAUUCUGACGUGCAAAUCGAUCGUCGGAACUGGGUAUAGGGGCGAAAGACUAAUCGAACCAUCUA
rnacentral:rRNA from 1 species